rnacentral:rRNA from 1 species
GGACUACUAGGGUAUCUAAUCCUGUUUGCUCCCCACGCUUUCGUGCCUCAGUGUCAGUAAUGGACCAGGAAGUCGCCUUCGCCACUGAUGUUCCUUCCGAUAUCUACGCAUUUCACCGCUACACCGGAAAUUCCACUUCCCUCUUCCACACUCUAGUUCAACAGUAUCAUAUGCAAUUCCCAGGUUAAGCCCGGGGAUUUCACAUCUGACUUAAUAAACCACCUACGCACCCUUUACGCCCAGUAAUUCCGAUUAACGCUCGCACCCUCUGUAUUACCGCGGCUGCUGGCAC